rnacentral:sRNA from 1 species
UCUAUUUAUCCACAGAGCAGACAUAGCAUUGGGAGAACAAUGCAAUCUUCCCCACACUGUCCUGUCAACAUAUUCUAACCCUGACUUUGAGGAACCACCUGUCUUCUUACCUGGUAUAGA